rnacentral:rRNA from 1 species
CUAGAUGUGGGGGUUGGGGCUGGCGUAAGCCAGUCACUCGAGGCCGUUUUGUUGUCGAAGUUCAUAGCGCGAGGGACCGAGAAGAGCACACAGGGGACGAUGAAGUCGCCCGUACUAAAACUGACACAGGUAGGCGAGGAGAGUAUCCUCAGGCGCUCGAGAGAACUGCGGUUAAGGAACUAGGCAAUCUGACCCCGUAACUUCGGGAGAAGGGGUCCCUCCCUCACGCGAGUGAGAAGGGCGCAGGAAUCAGCCUGGGCGACUGUUUAUCAAAAACACAGCUCUGUGCAAAGACGCAAGUCGACGUAUACAGAGUGACGCCUGCUCGGUGCCGGAAUGUUAAGGAAGGCGGUCAGGGGUUCGCCCCGAAGCUGGCGACCGAAGCACCGGUAAACGGCGGCCGUAACUAUGACGGUCCUAAGGUAGCGAAGUUCCUUGUCGGGUAAGUACCGACGUGCAUGAACGGCGUAACGACUUGGGCGCUGUCUCGACCGCAGACUCGGUGAAAUUGAAGUGGCGGUGUAGAUACCGCCUUCCCGCAGCAAGACGGAAAGACCCCAUGCACCUUUACUAUAACCCGGUAGUGAUGCCGGGUGAGGACUGCGUAGGAUAGGUGGGAGCCUGUGACGCGCCGGUUCCGGCCGGCGAAGAGGCAACGGUGAAAUACCACCCUGUUCGCAUUCGUCAUCUCACCGCGGCCCCUGAAUCGGGGCGCGGGACACUGCUAGGCGGUUAGUUUGACUGGGGCGGUCACCUCCGAAAGAGUAACGGAGGAGUACAAAGGCGGGCUCAGGCCGGUUGGCAAUCGGUCGUCGAGCGCAAGGGUAGAAGCCCGCUUGACCGCGAGUGCUACAGCACGAGCGGAUGUGAAAGCAGGUCCUAGUGAUCCUGUGGUACCGUGUGGAAGGGCCAUAGCUCAACGGAUAAAAGGUACGCUGGGGAUAACAGGCUGAUCGCACCCGAGCGUCCAUAGCGGCGGUGCGGUUUGGCACCUCGAUGUCGGCCCAUCACAUCCUGGGGCUGAAGGCGGUCCCAAGGGUUUGGCUGUUCGCCAAUUAAAGUGGUACGCGAGCUGGGUUCAGACCGGCGUGAGCCAGGUCGGUCCCUAUCUGCUGUGGGCGUGGGAACCUUGACGGAGAUUCUUCCAUAGUACGAGAGGAUUUGGAAGGACGGACCCCUGGUGUACCAGUUGUCGCGCUAGCGGCACGGCUGGGUAGCUAUGUCCGGAACGGAUAAACGCUGAAAGCAUCUAAGCGUGAAGCCAACUCCAAGACGAGGGUUCCGUGCUAUUUAUAGCGAGAGACCCCGGGUAGACCACCCGGUUGAUAGGCCGGAGCUGUACGGAUGGAAACAUCUUCAGGUUACCGGUACUAACGGUCGACAGCUUGGCCAC